GCAUGACACACAAUGCACGGCACAGCCAACAAGCAACAACGAAUCCUUUGAACACACCUUCUCCAUGCGCAUCUAGGAAGGAGGCUGAGUGCUCAGCGGCACUGUGCUAUUAUUAAUCAGAAAAUUUGAAGGUGCUUUUUGAGAAUUAACUCCAGAGCUGCAGAGCUACACAUCAUUAUCAGUACACCAGCUUAUAUUUUGUUCAGCUUCACAAUUUACCGUAAACAGCUUGCAGGGGGGACAAUCUUCAUUGUUCACGGAGAAGCAAAUAUGACCGAGAUCAGAGUUGCAAGAGCCAAGCAAUUUGUCUUUGUUCCUGAAUCCACUCUGUGCCGCCCAGGGAGAGAUAGUAACACUGACUUCUGAACAGUGCUUUUCUCGGAUCCCCUCCGAGCAGUCUGAGGGCGAUGGAUCAGGGGUGCUGUGGGGGCUGAAACCUGCACUUGGCAGGAUGUCUGUGCAGUCGUGACAGCCUGGUGGAAAGCCUGGGAGCGUGGGGCAUCCUAAUCGUCCUGAGAACUCCGGGAGGAGGAUGCGCCGCCGUGUUCUACGCCGUCGGGACAGAGCUGGGACAUGCAGGCUGCGGGGAAUGAGCACACAGCAAAACACCAUGCGGCGCUGCCCAGGUCUGUACUUCUCAUCCAGGCAGGGCUCGUCCCCCUGGGCAAGUUGGGCUCGUCCCCCUGGGCAACUGUCUGGGGGCAGUUUGGAUUGUCACAGCUGGGGAGGGGUGAGAAGGGUGCUGCUGGCAUCCGUGAAUGAACGGAGACUGGGGAUGCUUCUAGGCACCCUGCAACGUACAGGGCAGCCCCUGCCACAGAGAAUUGCUGGGCCCAGAGUGUCAACCGAGCUGAGGUUGAGGAGCCCUGGCUUAGCGGCUUCGCCUGUUAGGAACGUGUUAAUCCACUGGCCUGGGUGAAACAGAUGCCAGAAUCAGUCCCCAUUUUUCAGUUGAAGACGAUCCAAAAUAGAAACCUCAGUUAGUCUCUAGGUCACACCCUUGAGGUGAGUUUACAACCAUGGGAGCGAACCAGCAAAAAGGAGCCUCCAGGUCAUACCCUCUGUGAGUGCGACAACCAUGGGAGCAAACCAGGAAAAAGGAGCCUCCAGGUCACAGCCUCGGUGAGUGUUACAACCAUGGGAGCCAACCAGCAAAAAGGAGACUCCAGGUCACACCCUUGGUGAGUGUGACAACCAUGGGAGUGAACCAGGAAAAAGGAGCCUCCAGGUCACACCCUUGGUGAGUGUUACAAUCAUGGGAGCAAACCAGCGAAAAGGAGAGUCCAGGUCACACCCUUGGUGAGUGUGACAACCAUGGGAGUGAACCAGCAUAAAGGAGCCUCCAGGUCACACCCUUGGUGAGUGUUACAAUCAUGGGAGCAAACCAGCAAAAAGGAGAGUCCAGGUCACACCCUUGGUGAGUGUGACAACCAUGGGAGUGAACCAGGAAAAAGGAGCCUCCAGGUCACACCCUUGGUGAGUGUUACAAUCAUGGGAGCGAAGCAGCACAAAGGAGCCUCCAGGUCACACCCUUGGUGAGUGUGACAACCAUGGGAGUGAACCAGCAAAAAGGAGCCUCCAGGUCACACCCUUGGUGAGUGUUACAAUCAUGGGUACGAACCAGGAAAAAGGAGCUUCCAGGUCACACCCUUGGUGAGUGUGACAACCAUGGGAGUAAACCAGCAAAAAGGAGCCUCCAGGUCACACCCUUGGUGAGUGUGACAACCACGGGAGUGAAUCAGCAAAAAGGAGCCUCCAGGUCACACCCUUGGUGAGUGUGACAACCAGGGGAGUGAACCAGCAAAAAGGAGCCUCCAGGUCACACCCUUGGUGAGUGUGACAACCAGGGGAGUGAAGCAGCUAAUAGGAGCCUCCAGGUCACACCCUUGGUGAGGGUUACAACCAUGGGAGCGAACCAGCAAAAAGGAGCCAAGACAGGCGGGCGGGGCAUCCAGGAAGGCCCCAGAAGCUACCGCACUGACAGGAUAUCAGUCACGUGAUUGUAGCCCAAGCAGAAUAAUCAUCUCAGAUGAGUGACGGCCGUCAACCCAGGGAGGUUCAAGGAGAAUUUGUCCUGGACCCUGACGGGACCAACAUUUUAUCAAUAACCUGGGCAAAGGUGUGGUAGCAAAGUUAAUGACAUUUUCAAAUUGAAGAAAGCAUGGAGGGAUACUUAAGAUAGGCUAUGGCCAACCAAGUAUUAAUUUGCAGGGACGAAUGUGAAGUUCUGCCUUUGGGUGCAGAGCAUGCAAGGCCUCCCUCAACAAAGCUCUCGUGGUGGAGACUUAGUCACCUCAUACAACUGCAAGACCGAAGGAGAAUUCUCUGAUUUCUCACGAAGGACGGUGAAUGGCUGUCGGUCUUUGAUGUCAGUGUUGUCUCAGGCAGCCUUCAUCACCUCUGGAUUUCUAAAGGCAGCGUCUGAUCUUUUCCCCAGUGCUGGAGGACACAGGAGGUAACUAACUGACUUUUCCAAAACCGUUUCCCCCAUCCUUAGAAUGAAGACUAAGCCACUUGAUGAGAGCAACAGCCUUUAAAUAAAUAAUGCAGUUAUGUUUUUACAUUAUUUAAUAACGUGUAUCAGCUAUCUGUAAACUGAAACUCACAAUCGGAAUGUAAAUAAAAGAAUGUGACAGAAUCAUUUUUGCUGUUAGUUUGUACGUUUUUCUCCCCAUAGUUCUCCCCUUUUCUGUUUCCGGCUCCAGCGCACAGCCAGGCGUCAUGCUGGUUUGCCUAAGAGGACAUCUGUGGCAGGCUGGUUAGCUGCCCUUCCUGGCUUUCACUUUCCAAAAGUCUAAGACAAAUGAGGGCUCAUCAUGGGUGUGCAUGCACAGGGGAGUAACUAGAAAGUGAUCAGGGUCCAGAAAGCAAAGCAGAUCCUUCAGGGGAAACAAAAGCACCUGUGGGCCAUCAGAGACAAGAACAUGCUCAAUGACAGCAGCCAGCCUUGCUAGAGACAGGUCCCAGGCAAGGUCCAGGAGAGCAGCGCCAGCAGCCAGCAUGCCAGGAGCAUCCAGCAAGAGCUGACAUUGAUGACCAAAGGAGCAUUCCCCACUCCUUGACAUGGUGUUGGAGCAGAGGCCCCUUGGAGAACCCUGAGAAGUUCCAAUUUCAUUUAAGAAAAUAGAAAUCUGUAACUAGAAAGAGAGCAAGAUGGGUUGCAGAUGGGGCAGAAGCCAUGGCAGGGCUCAGCCAUACCUGUCUGUCAUGCUUUAUGUGAAAAGAAGGGGAAGACCCAAGGGAAUGCAGAGGGACAUUCAGAUUUAAUGAACAGGACUCCUAUUCUCCUGGAAAUAUGGUGGCAGCUUAGUUUUGAAUCUUCAAAGCUCGCCUCAUAGAAACCACAGAGACCAACAUUGCAGAAGAGAAGAAGCAGACUGGAAGUGUGAUUUCAGCAAGCCACCGUGGCACUUCCUACCCCACAGGAAAGUCCUACUUCCAAUCCAGGAAAAUCCACCUCUUUCAAAUAUAGAUUUAAAAACUAGAAAGUACACAGCAUCUUUCCUAAGACAUUAUAAGACAAAAAGAUGAAUAAAGCAGCAUUUUUCUACAAGUAAUAAAAACUCGCUAUAAAAAAUAAAACAAAGUAGAUGAGAAUGGUAACCCAAUAUUCCUACAUGAAUUUUCAAAAAUUAUUGAUACAAAGCAAGGAGUGAAGUAAAAGAUAAGCAGAAAUUUGCAAAUUCAGGAAAGAGAUCGUGAGACAAUAGGAAUUAUGCCAGAGAGAGUGGUAGAAUUACAGAAAGAAAAAUAAUAAGAAUCAACAUCAUGAAACUGACCAUAUUGCCCAAAGCAAUUUACAAAAUCAGUGCAAUUCCUAUCGAAAUUCAAACAUCAUUUCUCACAGAAUUAGACAAAACAAUCUUAAAAUGUAUGUAGAACUGACAAAGAGCACAAAUAGCCAAAGCAAUCGUAAGCAAAAAGAACAAAUCUGGAGGUAUCACAUUAUCAGACUUCAAAUUAUACUACAAAGCCAUAGUUAUCCAAACAGCAUGAUGCCAGUGUAAGAGCAGACACAUAGACCAAUGGAACAGAAUAUAGAAGGUAGAAAUAAAACCAAAUACCUACAACCAACUGAUCUUUGACAAAGCAUACAAAAAUACAAAUUGAGAAAAUGACACUCUAUUCUGUGUGUUCUGAUUGCUCCCCCGAUUGGCAAUUCCCCAAUCUCUCUUCCUCUCCUGAGGCCUCUUCAUUCCCUGAGACACAACAAUAUUGAAAUUAGGCCAUGUAAUAACCUUGCAAUGGCCCCUAAGUGCUCAAGUGACAGGAAGAGUCACACGUAUCUCACUUUCAAUCAAAAGCUAGAAAUGAUUAAGCUUAAUGAGGAAGACAUGGUGAAAGCUGAGAUAGAUUGAAAGCUGGGCCUCUUGUGCCAGUUAGUCAAAUUGUGAAUAAAAAGGAAAAGUUCUUGAAGGAAAUUAAAAGUGCUAUACUGGCCAGGUGCAGUGGCUCACACCUGUAAUUCCAGCACUUUGGGAGGCUGAGGUGGGUGGUCCCAAGGUCAAGAGAUCAAGACCAUCCUGGCCAACAUGAUGAAACCCAUCUCUACUAAAAAUACAAAAAUUAGCUGGGAAUGGUGACUUUACUUUGCAGGUGAUACCCAUUUACCAUUCUGAAAAUCCCAUGGCCCUCAAGAACUAUGCUAAAUCUACUCUGCCUGUGUUCAUUAAGUGGAAGAACAAAGUUUGGAUGUUAGCACAUUUGUUGAGAGCAUGGUUUGCUGAAUAUUUUAAGCCCACUGUUUAGACCUACUACUCAGCAAAAAAGAUUCCUCUUAAAAUACUACCCCUCAUUGACAAUGCAUCUGGUCAGCCAGGAACUCUGAUGGAAAUGUACAAGGAGAAGAAGGUUAUUUUUAAUGCCUGCUUCCACAACAUUCAUUCUGCAGUCCAUAAAUCAAGGAGUAAUUUUGACUUUCAAGUUUUAUUAUUUAAGAAGUACACUUUGUAAGGCUAUAGCUGCCAUAAAUAGUGAUUCCUCUGAUGAAUCUUAGCAAAGCAAAUUGAAAACCCUCUGGAAAGGAUUCACCAUUCUAGAUGCCACUAAGAACAUUGUGAUUCAUGAGAGGAGGCCAAAAUACCAACAUUCACCUGAGUUUGGAAGAAGUGGAUUCCAACAUUCAUGGAUGACAUUGAGGGGUUCAAGUCUUCAGUGGAGGAAGUAACUGCAGAUGUGGAAUUAGAAGUAGAGCCUGAAUAUGGGACUGAAUUGAUAUAAUCUUAUGAGAAAACUUGAACAGAAGAGCAGUGACUUCUUACGGAUGAGCAAAGGGAAUAGUUUUCUGCAAUGAAAUCUUCUUCUGGUGAAGAUGCUGUAAACAUUGUGGAAAUGACAGCAAGGAACCUGGAAUAUUUCAUAAACGUAUUUGAUAAGGCAGUGGUAAGGUUUGGGGAGACUGACUCCAAGUUUGAAAGAAGUACUACUAGGGGUAAAAGGCUGUCCAUGAGCAUUGCAUGCUACAGAGGAAUGCUUUGUGAAAGGAAGAGUAAUGGAUGUGGUCAACUUCGCUGUUGUCUUAUUUUAAGAAAUUGCCACACUCACCUCAGCCUUCAGCAAUCACUACCCUGAUCAGUCAGCGGCCAUCAACAUCAAGACUCCUCACCAGCAGGAAAAUUACAAAAGGAUUCCUGACCCUUCAGAUGAUCAUUAGCAUCCUUUAGCAAUAAAGUGUUUUUUAAUUGGGGUAUGCACAUUGUUACUCUUUUUUUGGUACCUUGUUAUUGCAUACUUAAUAGACUACAGUAUCAUAUAAACAUAACUUUUUUUUUUUUUUUGAGACGGAGUUUCGCUCUUCUUGCCCAGGCUGGAGUCCAAUGGCGGGAUCUCGGCUCACCGAAACCUCUGCCUCCCAGGUUCAAGUGAUUCUCCGGCCUCAGCCUCCUGAGUAGUUGGGAUUACAGGUGUGUGCCACCAUGCCCGGCUAAUUUCUUUUGUAUUUUUGGUAGACAUGGGGUUUCACCAUGUUGGUCAGGCUGGUCUCGAACUCCUGACCUCAGGUGAUCCACCUGUCUUUGCCUCCAAAAGUGCUGGGAUUACAGGCAUGAGCCACCAUGUCUGGCCCUAAACAUAACUUGUAUAUGCACUGGGAAACCAGAUAUUUUGUGUGGCUCACUGUAUUGCCAUAUUCACUUUAUUGAGGAGGUCUAGACCCCAACCCACAAUAUCUCCAAGGCUGGCCUGUAUGGAUCUCAUUUACUCUCCAUAACAACAUGUGACAAUGGAAAAUCUCAGAACUCUCACAGAUAAGAAAACUUAGGCUCAGACAGAUAUAGGGAGAAGAGUGAAAAUCCCCAAACCACCUUCCCCGUCUUCUCCUUCCUCAGGGCUCAUCCCUAAUCGUCCAGUGCUGUGCCAUCCGGGUAUUUUUCAGUGAGUGCACAGUCAUGACUAUGCAGGAAGGCAGAGGAUUGCUCUGGGCAGGAGGCCUGAUCCACCCCCAGAAAUGGUAGCCAGGCCCCUUGGGGUGGCUUCCUGCAGCAACCUUGUCACCAUGGUAACCAGAAACUGGUCUGAUCAGUCCUAGUAGCAGCAGAGUAGGAAGACGGCUGGAGAUCAUCAGAAGAAACCCAAAAUGUCACAGACCCAGAAAUGGAAGCCAGGAAAGGUGUGAUUAUCCUUAUCACAGUUAACGAUGAUCCUCAGGGCUCGCCACCAGGAUCAAACUAGCCACCAUUGCCUGAGCUCUGCAGGCAGCUGAUCUGCAGCGCUG